GCCGGUGUGAUGGAAUUGGUAGACGUGCCAGACUCAAAAUCUGGUGAGGUUCACGCCUCGUGUCGGUUCGACCCCGACCACCGGCA
rnacentral:tRNA from 1 species